rnacentral:rRNA from 1 species
GACAGAGGUUGCAAACGUUGUUCGGAAUCACUGGGCAUAAAGCGCACGUAGGCGGUCUGUUAAGUCAGGUGUGAAAGCCCUCGGCUCAACCGGGGAACAGCAUUUGAUACUGGCAGACUCGAGGAUGGUAGGGGUGAGUGGAACUCCAGGUGGAGCGGUGAAAUGCGUAGAUAUCUGGAGGAACACCGGUGGCGAAAGCGGCUCACUGGACCAUCACUGACGCUGAGGUGCGAAAGCUAGGGUAGCAAACGGG